rnacentral:rRNA from 1 species
GCCUUAGUAACGGCGAGUGAAGCGGCAACAGCUCAAAUUUGAAAGCUGGCCCUUUCAGGGUCCGCGUUGUAAUUUGUAGAGGAUGAUUCGGCGAGGGCUCCCGCCUAAGUCCCCUGGAACGGGGCGUCAUAGAGGGUGAGAAUCCCGUAUGCGGUGGGCUGCCUUAGCCAUGUGAAUCUCCUUCGACGAGUCGAGUUGUUUGGGAAUGCAGCUCUAAAUGGGAGGUAAAUUUCUUCUAAAGCUAAAUACCGGCCAGAGACCGAUAGCGCACAAGUAGAGUGAUCGAAAGAUGAAAAGCACUUUGGAAAGAGAGUUAAAAAGUACGUGAAAUUGUUGAAAGGGAAGCGCUUGCAACCAGACUUGUCCGCAGUUGCUCAGCCGGUCUCCUGACCGGCGUACUCUUCUGCGGCCAGGCCAGCAUCAGUUCGGGCGGUCGGAUAAAGACCUCGGGAAUGUGGCUCCUCUCGGGGAGUGUUAUAGCCCGGGGUGGAAUGCGGCCAGCCUGGACUGAGGAUCUCGCUUCGGCAAGGAUGCUGGCGUAAUGGUUGUAAGCGGCCCGUCUUGAAACACGGACCAAGGAGUCUAACAUCUAUGC